UACGUAGGGGGGCUAGCGUUGUCCGGAAUCAUUGGGCGUAAAGCGCGUGUAGGCGGUCCGGUAAGUCCGCUGUGAAAGUCGGGGCUCAACCCUCGGAUGCCGGUGGAUACUGUCGGGCUUGAGUACGGAAGAGGCGAGUGGAAUUCCUGGUGUAGCGGUGAAAUGCGGUAGAGAUCCGGAAGAACACCAGUGGCGAAGGCGGCCCGCUGGGCAGUGGCUGACGCUGAGGCGCGACAGCGUGGGAGCAACAGGAUUAGAUGACCCCGGUAACGU
rnacentral:rRNA from 1 species